UCCUCGUGUGCCAAUUUUCGCCUGAUUUGAAUACAAAUUUUUAGUGGGUGGCUUCCUUUUUUCUGUUUUCACCAAACAUUAGUGCCUGUCAACUACAGCUGUUCGUAUUUUGUUUUCUUUAGUUCUAAUAUUUUUCCAAUUCCAUG
ensembl:ncRNA F58G11.7 ncRNA